AUUGAACGCUAGCGGAAGGCCUAACACAUGCAAGUCGAACGAGUGGCGGACGGGUGAGUAAUGUCUGGGCAAUUGCCUCAGGGACGGGGAUAACUACUGGAAACGGUAGCUAAUACCGCAUCCCAUCCGAUGUGUCCAGAUGGGAUUAGCUUGUUGGUGGGGUAACGGCUCACCAAGGCGACGAUCCCUAGCUGGUCUGAGAGGAUGCCCAGCUACGCUGGGACUGAGACACGGUUCAGACGCCUACGGGAGGCAGCAGUGGUGAAUAUUGCACAAUGGGCGCAAGCCUGAUACAGCAAAGCCGCGUGUAUGAAGGAGGCCUUCGGAUUGUAAAGUACUUUCAACGGUGAGGCGUUACCCGCAGAGGAAGCACCGGCGAACUCCGUGCCAGCAGCCGCGGUAAUUC
rnacentral:rRNA from 1 species